GUGCUCUCUCCAGCAGCACAUAUACUAAAAUUGUAACAAUACAGAAAAGAUGAACAUGGCCCCUGUGCAAGGAUGACACGCCAAUUUGUGAAGCAUUUCAUAUUUUU